rnacentral:rRNA from 1 species
AUCGGUCCUUGGAGCGGCGAGGACACACCCGUUCCCAUCCCGAACACGGCAGUUAAGCUCGCCAGCGCCGAAGAUACUUGGGGCGCAGGCCCUCGGGAAAAUAGGUCAGGGCCGGGG